rnacentral:rRNA from 1 species
UUCUCCCUACGGGAGGCAGCAGUGGGGAAUAUUGGGCAAUGGGCGCAAGCCUGACCCAGCAACGCCGCGUGAAGGAAGAAGGCCCUCGGGUUGUAAAUUUCUUUUAUUCGGGACGAAACAAAUGACGGUACCGAAUGAAUAAGCCACGGCUAACUACGUGCCAGCAGCCGCGGUAAUACGUAGGUGGCAAGCGUUAUCCGGAUUUACUGGGUGUAAAGGGCGUGUAGGCGGGAGAGCAAGUCAGAAGUGAAAUUCCAGGGCUCAACCCUGGCACUGCGUUUGAAAC